AAGCGCCUAUGACCAGACUUGUGUCUGGCAGCUCCGUAAGCCUUCUGGCUUGCGUACUCUGCCUGAUUCAGGCCAGCAUCGGUUUCUGGAGGGGGACAAAAGCAGCUGGAACGUAGCUCUCUUCGGGGAGUGUUAUAGCCUGUUGCAUAAUACCCUUCUGGGGACCGUGGAUCGCGCUCUGCAAGGAUGCUGGCGUAAUGGUCAUCAGCGA
rnacentral:rRNA from 1 species